GACGAACGCUGGCGGCGUGCCUAAUACAUGCAAGUUGAGCGAUGAAGCUUGGUGCUUGCACCAAUUUGAAGAGCAGCGAACGGGUGAGUAACGCGUGGGGAAUCUGCCUUUGAGCGGGGGACAACAUUUGGAAACGAAUGCUAAUACCGCAUAACAACUUUAAACAUAAGUUUUAAGUUUGAAAGAUGCAAUUGCAUCACUCAAAGAUGAUCCCGCGUUGUAUUAGCUAGUUGGUGAGGUAAAGGCUCACCAAGGCGAUGAUACAUAGCCGACCUGAGAGGGUGAUCGGCCACAUUGGGACUGAGACACGGCCCAAACGCCUACGGGAGGCAGCAGAAGGGAAUCUUCGGCAAUGGACGAAAGUCUGACCGAGCAACGCCGCGUGAGUGAAGAAGGUUUUCGGAUCGUAAAACUCUGUUGGUAGAGAAGAACGUUGGUGAGAGUGGAAAGCUCAUCAAGUGACGGUAACUACCCAGAAAGGGACGGCUAACUACGUG
rnacentral:rRNA from 1 species